GAGACCUUACCACAGUAUAGGCCAAGCACAGGCAAAUAAGUGUAGAGGGCUAGAGGCUGGUUCGCACCAUGGCACAAGCCAAGCUCCAAGCCUAAUGGUACAGCGAGAAGUUACCUGUUUGCUGAUCCAUUUAUGUGGUAAAGGUUUAGUCUGACGUUGCUCAGUCAGCUUACACUUUUGGACUAGCAAGCAAGGACACGAUCCAUCAUCAGAUCUAAGUGUUCUAGUUGGUUUGUGACGAGGUAAUAAAUUAGUAGCUAGUAGGUGAAAACAAGUGGAAAAGUUUUGUUGCCUAUAAGGAGUCAGUAGAUUCAAUUGACAGUGCUUUACG
rnacentral:lncRNA from 1 species